rnacentral:rRNA from 1 species
AUUGAACGCUGGCGGCAGGCCUAACACAUGCAAGUCGAACGGUAACAGGAAGAAGCUUGCUUCUUUGCUGACGAGUGGCGGAAGGGUGAGUAAUGUCUGGGAAACUGCCUGAUGGAGGGGGAUAACUACUGGAAACGGUAGCUAAUACCGCAUAACGUCGCAAGACCAAAGAGGGGGACCUUCGGGCCUCUUGCCAUCGGAUGUGCCCAGAUGGGAUUAGCUAGUAGGUGGGGUAACGGCUCACCUAGGCGACGAUCCCUAGCUGGUCUGAGAGGAUGACCAGCCACACUGGAACUGAGACACGGUCCAGACGCCUACGGGAGGCAGCAGUGGGGAAUAUUGCACAAUGGGCGCAAGCCUGAUGCAGCCAUGCCGCGUGUAUGAAGAAGGCCUUCGGGUUGUAAAGUACUUUCAGCGGGGAGGAAGGGAGUAAAGUUAAUACCUUGACUCAUUGACGUUACCCGCAGAAGAAGCACCGGCUAACUCCGUG